AGUUUCCCUAAUUGUAUGAAACAAGAAUGAAAUCGCUGCUGCUUUUCCUGUCCCUGUUCUCCGCCCCCAGCUGUGUCAUCUCUCAGGUGCAGCUGGUCCAGUCUGGCCCGGGGGUGGUGAAGCCCGGAGAGACCCUCGCACUGACCUGCGUUGUCUCGGGUGUUUCCAUCACUAGCAGCAGCUACGCCUGGAGCUGGAUCCGGCAGCCCCCCGGGAAAGGGCUGGAAUGGGUAGCACGUAUAUACCCACACGACGGGAGAAAGUGGUUUGCCGCGUCUCUCCAAAGCCGGACCACCAUCUCUUCGGACACCGCCAAGAACCAGUUCUCCCUGCAGCUGGCCUCCCUCACAGCUGCAGACACCGCCAAGUAUUACUGUGCCAGAGACACACAGCGACACAGAGCAAAGCGGGGCUGGUACAAAAAGGGGAAGCGGAUUGUCUAGAGUCACUCGGGGCCCUGUCACACUCACGUCUCCAUUAGAAGCAGGGUGAGACACUGGUCACAAGGGGUUUAGGAGGUGGAAAUCGGGGAGGGAAAAUUCCUCGUCUCCUCACUCAGCUCCUGGUAACACGGACACACAGAGAUCCCAUCUCACGGCCCCCCAGG